ACCGAAUUUCCAUCUGCAAGUACGUCAGGCGACAUUUUCGUUCUACAAGUACGUCAGGCGACAUUGGGGUUCACCGCUUAUCAUGUAAGUACUUGUUCGAUUGAAUCCACGUCCGGGGAAUGAUGCGUAUGAAAUUUCCGGCUCGUACCAGGUAUCCGUACAGGGAGGCAAACAAUCACAGUACUCAUCUUCGCGUGAACGAAUUUCCUCUGGAUCCAAGAAGACAAUAAGAUUUUGUGUACUAUAUCACUGAAAGAAAGAGAAUCAGCAUCGUGGUUGUUCUUCCAGGAGGAAAAUGACUUGCCAUUCAAUAUCAGGGUGAAGAAAAUGACAUCAAAUUCUAUUAUUGCUGUUAUCACAGAUUACAUGCAAGUUAUGUUUAGCCUACAUAGCAUUUUAAAAAUUCAUCAUGUAGGUUGCAAUAGUUUUGAUUAUUUUUUUGUUUAUUUAGAUUUUGCUUUGGAUUUUGCAUUUAGACUGAAUGAGAGCCAUCUGUUUGUCCUUUCAAGGAAAAAGAAAAGGCCAAUAUCACCAACACAGGCAACAAAAUUCUUUGUUUGUUAACCCGUUGGCUGCUACCUCUUCAAUCCCCACCCCUAUAUCCCGGAAUGGGCCCGCUCUUAGUCUUACUUUGAGGUUAAUCCUGCGCCGCUAUUCAAUGGACUGAAUCCAUUGGACCUAACGAAAGAUUAGCGAUGACUGACUGACUUGCUGUCAUUCAGCAAUACUGCUCACUCGCACGCCAUCCUCUUUCGUCGCUCCGAGGAAUGGGGAAGUUGAGCCUGCUCCAGCUUGGACACGGCCAGCAUCAUUCGACUACAACCGACUUGUACUACCCCUGCUCUCAAAACAGCACGGAAUUUUCAUCUUCACAUUGAUUGGCUGUUUACGAUGCGUGUUGAUGUUUCCUUGAGGACGACGAGAUGGUGAUUUUGGGGACGAGAAUAUUAAGUUCUAAACUACAGGUUUCUAAAUUUGCAUGGCAGACUUUAUGAGAAGUCAUGUCCUUUGAAGAAAACGGACAAUGACUAUACAGUCAACAAGCAACAAGGUCCCUUGUUUGGUAACCCGUUGGCUGCUAGCUACCCUUUUCACUUCCUUAAACGGGUACUCUUGAUUUAAGGUUAACUCCUUCGCUGCUUAUCAUGGACUUCAUCCAUUGGUGAAAACUGACGAGAGAAUGCUGUAAUUCAAGACUGAUUAGUUGUGUAGUUGUUAGAUAAAUUAAAAUUGCAUAUCUGGG